rnacentral:rRNA from 1 species
AACGAACGCUGGCGGCAUGCCUAACACAUGCAAGUCGAACGAGACCUUCGUGUCUACUUGCGCUCGCGUGUGUCACGCGUCGGAACCUUCCUUUAGGCUCGGAAUUCUUCAUUGUAAUUUGAGCUAAUACCGGAUGAUUUCUUCUGACCAAAGAUUUGUCGUCCUUGGAUGGGCACGCGUUGUUCUAGCUUGUUGGUGGGGUAUGGGCCUACCAAGGCUACGAUCCAUAGCUGGGUAGAGAGGAUGAGCAGCGACACUGAGACUGAGACACGGCCCAGAAUACUACGGGAGGCAGGAGUGGGGAAUAUUGGAAAAUGGGCGAAAGGAUGAACCAGCUAUGCCGCGUGAGUGAUGAAGGCGUUAGGGAAGUAAAGCACUUUUACCCGAGAUGAUAAUGACAGUAUCGGGAGAAUAAGCACCGGCUAACUCCGUG